GACGAACGCUGGCGGCGUGCCUAAUACAUGCAAGUCGAGCGGAGUUAUGAAGGAGCUUGCUCCGGAUUAACUUAGCGGCGGACGGGUGAGUAACACGUAGGCAACCUGCCCUUCAGACUGGGAUAACUACCGGAAACGGUAGCUAAUACCGGAUAAUUCCUUCCUUCGCCUGAAGAAAGGAUGAAAGACGGAGCAAUCUGUUACUGAGGGAUGGGCCUGCGGCGCAUUAGCUAGUUGGUGGGGUAACGGCUCACCAAGGCGACGAUGCGUAGCCGACCUGAGAGGGUGAACGGCCACACUGGGACUGAGACACGGCCCAGACUCCUACGGGAGGCAGCAGUAGGGAAUCUUCCGCAAUGGGCGAAAGCCUGACGGAGCAACGCCGCGAGAGUGAUGAAGGUUUUCGGAUCGUAAAGCUCUGUUGCCAGGGAAGAACGUUCUCUAGAGUAACUGCUAGAGAAGUGACGGUACCUGAGAAGAAAGCCCCGGCUAACUACGUGCCAGCAGCCGCCGUAACAC
rnacentral:rRNA from 1 species